GAUGAACGCUAGCGGCAGGCUUAACACAUGCAAGUCGAGGGGCAGCGCGAUGUAGCAAUACAUUGGCGGCGACCGGCGCACGGGUGCGUAACACGUAUGGAACUUACCCUUUACUGGGAGAUAGCCCGGAGAAAUCCGGAUUAAUAUCCCAUAAUAAACGAAGUGGCAUCACUUUGUUUUGAAAGCUCCGGCGGUAAAGGAUGGCCAUGCGCACGAUUAGCUAGUAGGUGAGGUAACGGCUCACCUAGGCUACGAUCGUUAGGGGGCCUGAGAGGGUUAUCCCCCACACUGGUACUGAGACACGGACCAGACACCUACGGGUGGCAGCAGUUUCGAAUCAUUCACAAUGGGCGAAAGCCUGAUGGUGCGACGCCGCGUGAGGGAUGAAGGUCUUCGGAUUGUAAACCUCUGUCACCAGGGAAGAAAAACUAGCCGUUAAUAGCGUCUAGUCUGACUUAACCUGGAGAGGAAGCAGUGGCUAACUCUGUGCCAGCAGCCG
rnacentral:rRNA from 1 species